rnacentral:rRNA from 1 species
AGACAGUUCGGUCCCUAUCUGCCGUGGGCGCUGGAGAAUUGAGGGGGGCUGCUCCUAGUACGAGAGGACCGGAGUGGACGCAUCACUGGUGUUCGGGUUGUCAUGCCAAUGGCACUGCCCGGUAGCUAAAUGCGGAAGAGAUAAGUGCUGAAAGCAUCUAAGCACGAAACUUGCCCCGAGAUGAGUUCUCCCUGAGACUUUAAGUCUCCUGAAGGAACGUUGAAGACGACGACGUUGAUAGGCCGGGUGUGUAAGCGCAGCGAUGCGUUGAGCUAACCGGUACUAAUGAACCGUGAGGCUUAACCUU